GACGAACGCUGGCGGCGUGCCUAAUACAUGCAAGUCGAACGCAGUGGGGACGGGUGAGUAACACGUGGGUAACCUCCCAUCAGAGGGGAUAACACUUGGAAACAGGUGCUAAACCGAUACUGAUGGAUGGACCCGCGGUGCAUUAGUUAGUUGGUGAGGUAACGGCUCACCAAGGCCACGAUGCAUAGCCGACCUGAGAGUGUGAGCGGCCACAAUGUGACUGAGAAACGGCCCAGACGCCUACGGGAGGCAGCAGUAGGGAAUCGUCGGCAAUGGACCAAAGUCUGACCGAGCAACGCCGCAUGAGUGAAGAAGGUUGUCGGAUCGUAAAACUCUGUUGUUAGAUAAGCGGUAUCUAACCAAAAAGCCACGGCUAACUACGUGCCAGCAGCCGCGGUAAUUC
rnacentral:rRNA from 1 species